rnacentral:rRNA from 1 species
UACGUAGGGUGCGAGCGUUGUCCGGAAUUAUUGGGCGUAAAGAGCUCGUAGGCGGUGUGUCACGUCGGCCGUGAAAACCUGGGGCUCAACUCUGGGCGUGCGGUCGAUACGGGCAUCACUGGAGUUCGGCAGGGGAGACUGGAAUUCCUGGUGUAGCGGUGAAAUGCGCAGAUAUCAGGAGGAACACCGGUGGCGAAGGCGGGUCUCUGGGCCGAUACUGACGCUGAGGAGCGAAAGCAUGGGUAGCGAACAGG